rnacentral:rRNA from 1 species
UACGUAGGGCGCAAGCGUUGUCCGGAAUUAUUGGGCGUAAAGAGCUCGUAGGCGGUUUGUCGCGUCUGCUGUGAAAACCUAAGGCUCAACCUUGGGCUUGCAGUGGGUACGGGCAGACUAGAGUGCGGUAGGGGUGACUGGAAUUCCUGGUGUAGCGGUGGAAUGCGCAGAUAUCAGGAGGAACACCGAUGGCGAAGGCAGGUCACUGGGCCGCAACUGACGCUGAGGAGCGGAAAAGCAUGGGGAGCGAAACAGG